CAGAUAAGGAGCUUGCUCCUUUGACGUUAGCGGCGGACGGGUGAGUAACACGUGGGUAACCUACCUAUAAGACUGGAAUAACUCCGGGAAACCGGGGCUAAUGCCGGAUAACAUUUAGAACCGCAUGGUUCUAAAGUGAAAGAUGGUUUUGCUAUCACUUAUAGAUGGACCCGCGCCGUAUUAGCUAGUUGGUAAGGUAAUGGCUUACCAAGGCAACGAUACGUAGCCGACCUGAGAGGGUGAUCGGCCACACUGGAACUGAGACACGGUCCAGACUCCUACGGGAGGCAGCAGUAGGGAAUCUUCCGCAAUGGGCGAAAGCCUGACGGAGCAACGCCGCGUGAGUGAUGAAGGGUUUCGGCUCGUAAAACUCUGUUAUUAGGGAAGAACAAACGUGUAAGUAACUGUGCACGUCUUGACGGUACCUAAUCAGAAAGCCACGGCUAACUACGUGCCAGCAGCCGCGGUAAUACGUAGGUGGCAAGCGUUAUCCGGAAUUAUUGGGCGUAAAGCGC
rnacentral:rRNA from 1 species